UGGGGUCCUCCCUCCUUACACACACCUCCCAGGCUGGCAAUUCCACCGGGAGCCAGGAGAAGCAGCGACUUCAAGGACGCUCCUCAGUGUGGAACGAGAGGCAAUGUCACCCUUGGAGAGGAGUGGAGCUCUCAGCCUGCUGGCCAGCACGCCGUAUCCGUCCCUCCAGGAAAGACCCGGGUUUCCACGGGCUGAGUGUGUAUGUGCACGCGUGUCACCUGCGUGUCUGGUCAUCGCCUUCUGGGCGGUGUCCUGCUCCAGUUUCCUGUCGUUCUUUUGGCCGGAUCAGCAGCGGAGAGAAAUCAGGAGGGCAGCUCUCUUAUGCAGAUCCUCUCAGAGGUCUAUAUUGCUGGGUUUGUGUGCGCGUUUGCGCGUGCACAUGUGCGAGCUGCCAUUGGGUGUGCGUGGGGCGGGGGGUGAGUGUAUGAGUGUGUGUGUGUGUGUGUGUGUGUGUGUGUGUGUGUAUGUACCUUUGUGUACAUGACCAUAAAAGCUCAUGCUAGUUCAAACUCUCACCCAGAACUUGAGGAGGGAGGAAAUAGAAAAUCAUCAAAGAGAAAAAGUAGAGGGCUGGAGCAGGCAUUGUUAACCCCUGCAGCUCCCAGGCAGAGCCGGGUCGGGCCUGGGAAUGUCUCCCAGCUGGCUUGCCACGCGUGCGCCUCGUGAAAAAGAGCUUCUGAGUCAUUUUAUGAAUACAACUCCGAGAAGGGAGAAAAGAUGCAGAAAGAAGACGGGGCAAAAACCAGACCAAACCAAAACAAAACUGGAGGCGGAGGGGAAAAAAGCAAAAGAAAAGGAGAAUUAAACCAUUAAUCUGCCCAGAUUUUCCACUUCACAGAGUAAUCAGUUUGGAAGUGACUGAA